CCUACGGGAGGCAGCAGUGAGGAAUAUUGGACAAUGGGCGCAAGCCUGAUCCAGCCAUGCCGCGUGCAGGAUGACGGUCCUAUGGAUUGUAAACUGCUUUUGUACAGGAAGAAACACUGGUUCGUGAACCAGCUUGACGGUACUGUAAGAAUAAGGAUCGGCUAACUCCGUGCCAGCAGCCGCGGUAAUACGGAGGAUCCAAGCGUUAUCCGGAAUCAUUGGGUUUAAAGGGUCCGUAGGCGGUUUAAUAAGUCAGUGGUGAAAGCCCAUCGCUCAACGGUGGAACGGCCAUUGAUACUGUUAGACUUGAAUUAUUAGGAAGUAACUAGAAUAUGUAGUGUAGCGGUGAAAUGCUUAGAGAUUACAUGGAAUACCAAUUGCGAAGGCAGGUUACUACUAAUUGAUUGACGCUGAUGGACGAAAGCGUGGGUAGCGAACAGGAUUAGAUACCCUGGUAGUCCACGCCGUAAACGAUGGAUACUAGCUGUUGGAAGCAAUUUCAGUGGCUAAGCGAAAGUGAUAAGUAUCCCACCUGGGGAGUACGUUCGCAAGAAUGAAACUCAAAGGAAUUGACGGCUGAGAGAGCGACGACGACGACGAGGGAGGAGG
rnacentral:rRNA from 1 species